AUACGGAGGGUGCAAGCGUUAAUCGGAAUUACUGGGCGUAAAGCGCUCGUAGGCGGCUUGUUAAGUCGGAUGUGAAAGCCCCGGGCUCAACCUGGGAACUGCAUUCGAUACUGACAAGCUAGAGUAUAGUAGAGGCAAGUGGAAUUCCGGGUGUAGCGGUGAAAUGCGUAGAUAUCCGGAGGAACAUCAGUGGCGAAGGCGACUUGCUGGACUAAUACUGACGCUGAGGAGCGAAAGCGUGGGGAGCAAACGGGAUUAGAAACCCCGGUAGUCC
rnacentral:rRNA from 1 species